UGGCUCAGUGGUUUAGAGCACUGGCUUCUCUGCCAGAGGAGCUGGGUUCAAUACCCAG
rnacentral:tRNA from 1 species